UCUCGGGAGGGUGAAAAAGAAGAGAAAAAGUCGCGUGUACCUCCGUCGUCCCGCUUCAGAGACGAAUCGUGCACAUGAGAAUGACCGCCGCGGCCACCUCGGGACGGGCCGCCGCGUCCGAGGAUCCAGGUAGAGGAAGGCAUGACAUCUGACAUCAGGACAAUCUCAACUUUGGCCUGUUGUCAUGGUGACCAGCGCAGAGCCGUUUGUGACUGAGCAAUUCCACAUUGAUUAUUUUCGUCAUGAGUGAACACAUACCACAUGAUCAUCAUAGAAAAAAAAACUUUAACAGCACAGUUUCCACUGAUCAAAUCAGACUUUAUUCCUCUUUCAUCACUCCCAGUGGGAACUGAAAAUAGCACCUAUUCCUAUUUUCAUUCAUCAUGUGACCACACAAAGUCAUAAAAGUGUAGUUAUGUAAUUCAGCCAAUAAAACUGAAAUAUUUCAAA